GGGGUUUCAAUUGACUAGUGCAUGCAUAAACAUUGCAAAGGUCCAUUUUGUAAAUUAAUGGCACUAUGUAUUUAAUCUUAAUUUAUAGGGCCUGUGAGUUCAUAUCUGGAAUAAAAUAAUGGCAAAUCUACAGAAAUAUCACUGCUACUUAGGAGUGUCAAACAAAUUCAGGAGGACUGAAAUAACUGGAUGUUCUCAGGAUGAAAAAGAAAUUGUUGACUUUAAUUGAAUAAUCAUUAUCAUUAAUGUAAGGUUAAAAAUAUUGAACUUUCAAAAGGAUGCACACAGAAAAAUGAAAGUAGGGCCUGAAUUUCAGGUUAAGACUAAAGUGAUCCAGGAAUGGGGUUGGCCCUCUGCAGGCUAAAUCAAUUGAGGGAGAUCCCUUUAUUUCAAGUUAAAUGAUUAUUUGAAUAAGAUGCCAUUCAGGCAAUAAGGGCCUGGUUAGGUCCAUAUUUUAAUUCAAAUUAUUAAGUACUCGAUUUAUCCAUCAACAAACCCCAACAUUAAAAUUUCCAUCGAGUGAGAUGCAACAAAACCAUCUAUAGUUUAUUAAUUAUGUUAACCUAAUCCAUCAAUUGGCAAUGAGCCUACUUUAGUAUUUUAUAUACUCUCUCUAAUUUGCCCAUUAUAUUUAUAAACUGACAGUUAAUACCAUUACUCUUUCACAUACUAAUAAAAUCAUCUGGGCCCGGUUGUUCGAUCGAAGCCCGUGUAAGCCUUUGAACUACCGGCCCCAGAUGAUUUUAUUAGUCUGUGAAAGAUUAAUUAUUAACUGUCAGUUUAUAAAUAUAAUGGGCAAAUAUAUGAUUAUGUACAAAUUGCAUGCAUGGUUCAUAAAAUCUCUGUGAUAGACUUGCUCCAACAGAUUCAAAUUCCAUCCUGACAAUACCUAAAUAAUAAUUAUAGAGGUUGCAGUGUUGCACUACCUUUUGCUAAAAUACUGCCAUUGUUUACCAGUAUUUAAUAUGAACUCAAAAGUCAAAAC
rnacentral:lncRNA from 1 species